CUUCUCUCUUUAAUAACUUUGAGCUUUCAUCUUCCCUGUGCUUAGAGCAGGUUGGCAAAGAAUAGCAUUUUCUCAACUCGGCUCUUGUGAGAUAAAGAAAACAUAUCAAAGACCCAAUCUUCAUUGUGGACAAGUCUCUCCACAUGCAUCUGCUGUAUGUUACUGCCAACCACAGGCACGUCCAGAUCUUACUACUGCUGCUCCUUUGUACCUGAAAAAACAUCUCAGUCUACUCUUCCUGUCCAUGAUAGAUGGGCAUACUAGAUACGCUGCCCUACCUGAUGAUAAAUAUGAUAUUAAACUCUCAGAAUAGCAACGUUUGUGUGUACUUAAAGCAACUGCUGUAGAAAAACACCAUAAAUUUUGCCAGCUAAGGAGACUGCGGGAAAUGAGAACAUUACAGCGUAGUUUCAGGAGAGCUGACUGUCACACAUCAGUUUGGGAACAUGGCAGACAAAUUAGUUGAGAUCACCUACAGAGAAAAAAAAACAUUAGAGAGGGCUUGUUGCUGGAGUCAGACUCGAGCAUACAGAGGCGACAGCCAUUGCUAGUUAGAUUAAGUUGGCAGUGGCAGAAGUAAAAACAAUAAAGUCAGGGUACCAUGAGCACUGUUCCAGCUGUAUGGCCAUUACAGACAGGGGUUUAAAAUGCCACCCGUGGAAAAUGACAAUACUGCAGAUGCAUCUUCAGCAGACACAGAAAAAACAUUGCUACCACUGCGUUUCCAUACAGUGUACUGGAAUUUUUGCUGGACUGUGUGUGUCCUAGUGCUCCAAAUAGAUAUGAGAAACUACUUUUGCCAGAAGUCCUGGUUACAAAAUCUGUUUCUCAAUGCAAACAGCCCUAGAUUCCCUGAGCACACAGCUAUACAUACUGUUAAUGUUUCUGCUGCAUCAGGAGAACCACAAGCCAUUGAACUGAUGCCAAUCAUGAGCUCUGGGGUCUCUGAGGGGUGCAGCCAGGCUCCACCCCUUCCGGUCACUCAGGUGAAACUGCAUUCACCUGUGCCCCUGCAGCUGACUCAGCACUCACCUCAGCUGGUCAAUCAGAGGUUCAGGCCGUGAUUCAACAGUUCCCAUACAC
ensembl:lncRNA